rnacentral:rRNA from 1 species
CCAAUCGAACUUGGAGAUAGCUGGUUCUCCUCGAAAUAGCUUUAGGGCUAGCCUCGUAGAGAGAUAUAUGGAGGUAGAGCACUGAAUGGGUGCGGGGGCUUCACCGCCUACCAAAUCUUAUCAAACUCCGAAUGCCAUAUAUCAUGUACGGGAGUCAGACUAUGGGGGAUAAGCUUCAUAGUCAAAAGGGAAAGAGCCCAGACCGCCGUCUAAGGUCCCCAAGUGAUUGUUAAGUGGAAAAGGAUGUGAAACCGCAGAGACAACCAGGAUGUUGGCUUAGAAGCAGCCAUCAUUAUAAAGAGUGCGUAAUAGCUCACUGGUCCAGGGGUUUUGCGCCGAAAAUGUAACGGGGCUCAAACAAUACACCGAAGACGCGGAAUGACAUUUAGAUGUCAUUGGUAGAGGAGCGAUCCAUAGAGGGAGAAGCUUGAGUGAAAACGAAGGUGGACAAUAUGGAAGAGAGAAUGCUGGUAUAAGUACACGAUAAAAGAGGUGAGAAUCCUCUUCGCCGAAAAUCUAAGGAUUCCUGGGGAAGGCUCGUCCGCCCAGGGUAAGUCGGGACCUAAGGCAAGGCCGAAUGGCGUAGUCGAUGGAAAACAGGUAGAAAUUCCUGUACCACCGAAAGCCGUUAAGAGAGAAGCAAUGACGCAGAAGGAUAGAGCGAGCGCCCAGUUGGUGAGGCGUUUAAGUAAGUAGGGAGAAACGUAGGGAAGUCCGCGUUUUGAGAUCCUGAGAUACGAAUACGAGUGAAAAGAAGUAACGAAGUCCUCGAUUCCCCGCUGCCAAGAAAAGUUGCUAUCAAGGCUAGAGGUGCCCGUACCGCAAACCGACACAGGUAGAUAGGUAGAGAAUACUAAGGCGCGCGAGAUAACUCUUGUUAAGGAACUCGGCAAAAUAAACCCGUAACUUCGGGAGAAGGGUUGCUCUCCAUUGUGAGUACGAGCAGUAUAGAGCAAAGGAGAGUCGCAGAGAAAAGGUCCAGGCGACUGUUUAGCAAAAACACAGGUCUUUGCAAAAUCGAAAGAUGAAGUAUAAAGGCUGACGCCUGCCCGGUGCUGGAAGGUUAAGGGGAAGAGUGCAAGCUUUGAACCGAAGCCCCAGUAAACGGCGGCCGUAACUAUAACGGUCCUAAGGUAGCGAAAUUCCUUGUCGGGUAAGUUCCGACCCGCACGAAAGGCGAAACGAUCUGGACGCUGUCUCAACAAGGGACUCGGUGAAAUUGAAAUACCGGUAAAGAUGCCGGUUACCUGCGAUAGGACAGAAAGACCCCAUGGAGCUUUACUGUAGCUUGAUAUUGGGUUUCGGACAUUUAUGUACAGGAUAGGUGGGAGACAGAGAGACGUGUUCGCCAGAAUGCGAGGAGUCACUGGUGGGAUACCACCCUUAAAUGUUUGGAAUUCUAAC